rnacentral:lncRNA from 1 species
CUCAUACGGGUUCUUUGAUCCCCAAAUUAGAAAAGGGAAUUUCAAUCCCUAGCCUCCCUUCUUCUUCGCUCCUUCGACGGCAAUGGUGACGGUUUGUGGCGAGUUGCGGUGGAUUAUGGUGGUUCUCAUUGAGGUUGUCUCCUCCUUUCUUCCUCCUCUCGGUGUCUCUAAUAGUAAAGGGAGUGGGGAUUCUCUAAAUCCCCUUUUCUGUUUCCUUUUGGUUCGAUGAGGAUAGACUCAUAUCCUUCUACAAUUUAUGUUCAUAUUUGAUUGAUUUUUGGUUGCUGUUUGGAUUUAUUGAAUAGGUGAAUUAAGGGAGAAUGGAGAUGACAUGGAGUGGUGGUUCGGUAGAGUGGUGGUUCGGUGGACGAAGAUGAAAGGACGGUCUCUCCUGAGAUAAUGGUUUACGGUGGUCCUAGAUCAAUAAUUUAUUGUCGCGGUGGCUCACGGUGGUUCCGAAUCGAAGGUGAUUUUUUUUAUUUUAACGACUAUCCAAUGUUUCAGAAUAUGUAUGUUAGAUGUAUGCGUCUCAUUUUGAUAUGUAGGUUAUCCUGCGUGUACUUUACUUGUAAUUAUAUAAUGAAAAGGAUGGUUGCCUUACCUGAAUGUGUUCAUACUUACACGUUGAUGUUAUUGAAUCCUUGUUGAGUUCAUGCCUUUUGUUCUUCGGCUCCUGCCUCUGUGUAUAUGGGACUAUUGUGUAUCUGCCCAAUUUUUCUCUUCUUCUCUAUGUUAAUCUCCUGGUUACUUCUGCCUUUCUCUUUCUGAUUUUAUGUGUGUUGUAAUCUCUGAGUGUAUGCUCCUUGCUGUACGAUAUGUAUGCUGCCACCUUCUCGGUUUAUGAUGCUUUGUGAAACGUGACUCUAUUUUUCAGAUUGCUUUUGCUUGAUUGUAUGGAAGUUGAUCUUUGGUUAUGGUCGUGUGAAUAGAUGUGUUAUAUCUAUGGUAUUGUUCCCCUCUGAUUUUUAUAGUGGUCCCUCCAUCAUCAUGCUAUCCCCUUUUUAUAGCUUUAUAUGGAUUACUCAAUGCCCUUUUGAAAACCCUCUGAUUUAUCAAAAAAUAUAACUCCUGGUGACCCAUUCACUUUCUGUUUUAAUGUACUUGAUGCUGUCAAUGAAUAGGGCCAUUUGAUAACUGAAAUAACUCCCGAUUUGUGCCUUUCUGAUAUUUUCCUUUAUGGCUUACGGCUGACUCUUUGGGUCACCCACAUGAAUGCUUUUAUUUUUUUUUUCAGUGAUUCAUGGUUGCCUUUGAUGACUUAUUAUGAGUUGAUAAUGAUAAUGUGUAACUGAAAUUGGGAUAGCUUAAUAGGUACAAAUUUCUGAUAUAUCUACUCUGUUGCUACUUUUUGAAAUUCUGUCUUAUCACUUUUCUACUUCUAUUCUGCUCACCUCAUGAUGGUUGCCUUUUAGCUUAUUUGUAACUGAUUUUGUACAAUUAUGCUCAUUAGUGUGCCUUUAUCACAGUUCUUCAGUUAUGGAUGAUGAAUCAAACAAUCUGAGUAUUUAGAUCUGCAACAAGUUCAGCAAAAGAUGAAGACUUAUCUCCUAGCAAUGUUGCAGGGGUAUCAUAUUCCUCAAUAAGUCUUUGAUCAAGAAGCAAAACCGUACUAAUGUCAAUAACAUAUGUUACUCUAUUGCAAUGUAAUGACACUAGAGUUAGUGAAAUGUUGCUUAAGAGUUUGCUGGAUUAAAUGAAACUUCCUUUUUUGAUGUGGCAUACCCAAAAUAUAAAGUGUUGCACUUUUGAGAUUUAAUGCUUCGUAUUUCAAGUUGAGGACAAUUUCUGAUUUUUUAUUAUUGUGG